CCCCUUCAGCGGAGCCGUCACUCAACAAGGCCCCGCCCCCCAGGGCCGGCCCGCGCUGGCCGACUGGAAGGUCUCGCGGGAGGGGUCCGGGCGGGCCUACCCGCGCAGGCUGCGACGUCACCUUGCGACGCGGGCAUCCCUGGGCCCCGCCCACCCCAUUUAAACCCCCUGGACUCAACAUGGCGGCGGCGCACCCUCGGACGCCUGACCCCGGCGUCCCCGGGCGCGGGUAAGGGGCAACCCUUUCGUGUCCAGGGCUGCUGUCCUCCAUACGCAGCGAUGCGUGUCCGUCCGCCUGCGCGUCGUAGCGCCACCUGGGGGCUGGCCCCUCCCCGGCGAGGUCGGUGACCCUGAACGACCCUCCUGCGCCGCGCGCGCCCCGGAAGCGCUGGCGUGUCUCCCGGAAGUGGUUUUUCUUCCUCUCCCACCGUCGGGGCGGUGCCGCUGGCGGGGAAGGCGGGGUCCACGUGCCGGCUUGUGGAGAGCGGACUUCCUAGCGCUUUCCGCGUCUGGCGGUGCCUUCCCCGUUCCUGAGUAGCCUUUUUAACGGAAGCGUAAUCGGAGAGGCCGGGCCGCGGCUGUGGGCAGCGGCCACAUCGUCAGGCGCCUCGGGCUGCUGACCCAGCGCGGCUUGCCUUACCUGUCUGAGCUUCUCAGGACAGGCCGAGUCCACGCGGCCAGGAGCGGGGGCGGCGGUGUCCUGCCUUCGGGCCCUGCCGGCGGGUGGAUCCAGCAGAUGGGAACAUUGCCCCCUGCGCAGCGUGCAUGCGCACCAGGACUGCGGGAGCCCCCGCUUGAAGGGAAGACGACGGCACCCACCGUGGGCACAACUGCGGGCUGCCCCCUGCUGGCCGAUUGAAGAGGACAUUACUUACCAUAGAGGACAUUACUUACCACCUGUAAAUGCCAGGGAGAAGCCACAGCUCCUAGGAGGUCUCAAUUGCACCUGGCCUCAGUGCCACUGGAAAUGACUGAGUCUCCCUUGCCUGUAUUGUACCGUGCCCCUCAUCACCUCCACGAGGAGUCAGAAACUGUUCAUAUCAUUUUUUACCAUCUGUU
rnacentral:lncRNA from 1 species